rnacentral:rRNA from 1 species
CCUCACCGGGGGCGACAGCAGAAUGAAGGCCAGAUUGAAGGUCUUGCCAGACAAGCUGAGAGGAGGUGCAUGGCCGUCGCCAGUUCGUGCCGUGAGGUGUCCUCUUAAGUGAGGCAACGAACGAGACCCGCGCCCCAAGUUGCUCCCGAACCCUAAAGGGGUUCGGGCACUCUUGGGGGACCGCUGCCGAUGAGGCAGAGGAAGGGGCGGGCGACGGCAGGUCAGUAUGCCCCGAAUCCCCCGGGCCACACGCGGGCUGCAAUGGUAGGGACAGAGGGUUGCGACCCCGAAAGGGGGAGCUAAUCCCUAAACCCUACCUCAGUUGGGAUCGAGGGCUGCAACCCGCCCUCGUGAACGUGGAAUGCCUAGUAACCGCGCGUCACCAUCGCGCGGUGAAUACGUCCCUGCUCCUUGCACACACUGCCCGUCGAACCACCCGAAUGGGGUCUGGGUGAGGCGCGGUCGAAAGUUGGCCGCGUCGAACCUGGGCUCCGUGAGGGGGGUUAAGUCGUAACAAGGUGGCCGUAGGGGAACCUGCGGCCGGAUCACCUCCUAAGAAA